UACGAAGGGGGGCUAGCGUUGCUCGGAAUUACUGGGCGUAAAGGGCGCGUAGGCGGCACUGUUAGUCAGGCGUGAAAGUCCUGGACUCAACCUGGGAACUGCGCUUGAUACGGCAGAGCUAGAGGAUGGAAGAGGCUCGCGGAAUUCCCAGUGUAGAGGUGAAAUUCGUAGAUAUUGGGAAGAACACCGGUGGCGAAGGCGGCGAGCUGGUCCAUUACUGACGCUGAGGCGCGACAGCGUGGGGGAGCAAACAGG
rnacentral:rRNA from 1 species